rnacentral:lncRNA from 1 species
GGGUUUUGAGCCACCUGCGAGAUGGGCAGACACGGAGUUCUCUGGGUCCUACCCCCAUGAGUGCGCUUUGUCCUUUCUAAAAACCUGGGCUUUCCUGCUUGAAAGUCUCGCAGAAUCUAGUUGGUGGAAUCACUUCUCCAAAUCACACAGUUGAGUGCAUAAUCCUGGGUGGAGUGCAGGCUUUUUGACCUCUCAUGUCAUGUUACAAUUUAAAAGAAAAAACGGAGAAAAUUGGUCUGAAAUACCAUCUUUCAGGAAGAUGGUUAAAUUCAGAGGUUUACUCUUUAUGUGACUCAAGAUAAUUCAAUGAAAGGAGGCUUGUUUAAAAGUUAGGGAGAGGACACGCCUCCUUCCACACAUCACAGUCUUUUGAAGAUCACGUUCUGUUUCUCUGUUCUCCUCCUUUCCUUCCUGCAGACCAGGCUCAUUCUGCUACUCUUCUGCUUGUGGGUGAGUGAAAAUGGCCAUCCCAGCCCUAAUUGGACAGCGUCCUUCAGUUUAUUCCUCAGCAAUCAUUCAACCUCAUAAAUCUGACCCUGACAAGGUCUAUCUCUCCAUACUGAUAGUCAGAGGUGGAAUGGUAAUUUGUCCUCAGGCUUUCAUCUGCUUCUCCACUUGAGGGACCAUCAGUGCCAUGCGGUAAGGUGGCUCAGUGGUAAAGGAUCCAUGUGCCAAUGCAGGAGACCCAGGAGACUGGG